AUACUUACCUGGCAGGGGUGAUACCAUGAUCACCAAGGUGGUUUGCCCCGGGCGAGGCUUGUCCAUUGCACAUCCGGACUUGCUGCAACUCGGUGAAUUCGACAAACGUUCGAAUCUCAACUGCACAAUUUCUGGUAGUGGGGGACUGCGUUCGCGCUCUCCCCUG
ensembl:snRNA U1 U1 spliceosomal RNA